rnacentral:rRNA from 1 species
GAUGAACGCUGGCGGCGUGCCUAAUACAUGCAAGUCGAGCGAACAGAUAAGGAGCUUGCUCCUUUGACGUUAGCGGCGGACGGGUGAGUUACACGUGGAUAACCUACCUAUAAGACUGGGAUAACUUCGGGAAACCGGAGCUAAUACCGGAUAACAUAUUGAACCGCAUGGUUCAAUAGUGAAAGGCGGCUUUGCUGUCACUUAUAGAUGGAUCCGCGCCGUAUUAGCUAGUUGGUAAGGUAACGGCUUACCAAGGAAACGAUACGUAGCCGACCUGAGAGGGUGAUCGGCCACACUGGAACUGAGACACGGUCCAGAGUCCUACGGGAGGCAGCAGUAGGGAAUCUUCCGCAAUGGGCGAAAGCCUGACGGAGCAACGCCGCGUGAGUGAUGAAGGUCUUCGGAUCGUAAAACUCUGUUAUCAGGGAAGAACAAAUGUGUAAGUAACUGUGCACAUCUUGACGGUACCUGAUCAGAAAGCCACGGCUAACUACGUG